ensembl:lncRNA
CCAGGAGCAGGGUUGGAGACCCCUGCCCUAUGGUUUCGUGGACUUAACGGACACGCGGACGCCGCGGCCAUUCUCUCCACAGGUGAUCUUGAGCUCCAUGUGAUCCAGAACUGAUGGGCUUUUGUCAGCCUCGAUGCUAAGGGCUUUUCUGGUCUGCCUAAAGAAGCUUUACAACUCAUCAUAACUGUGAUAACCAGCAGAGUGGCUCUCUGCUGGCCUGGAAGUUGUGAGGCAAGAUUCUGGAUGGGUCCUUUGGAUGAGAUAUAUGGAGUCUGCACAGAGAAUGAUACAGAGAGAUGGAAGCAGCUGUCCCAUUAUUCCUAAUCAUACUCCCACAACUUUAUUUCCUGCACCAGCUGGCUUUGAGCUUUAUUCCGGGCAUCGGUGAAGAUGAAGUACUGAGUUGUAUGGUUGUCUGCUCUGCCAAUGACAAACUCCAGCAUCUCCCUAUCACCCUGAAGAAUGAUACGUGCGUUCUCCUCCUGAUACUGGUCAGAGUGCUGCAGCAAGUGCUGAAAACACGUGAGCAGAUCUUUCCUCAUUUCUUCACUCUUCUCCAGGUGUGUCUUUGUCUUCAGGAUCUUCUCUAGGGGCAGCGUUUUGCCCAAGAAAAUUCUCUGGCGUGGAGGGUGUGCAGGGGCUGAUGAGUGCUGUACAUGAGGUGCAGGUCUCCACAGGUGAUCUUGAGCUCCAUGUGAUCCAGAACUGAUGGAUUAUUUUCAGCCUUCGCUGCUCAGGACUUUUUUAGCCUGCUCAAAGCAGCUUUCCAACUCAUCAUGACAGUGAUGUCCAGCAAAGUGGCUAUCUGCCAGGCUGGAGGUUGUGAGUCGAGAUUCCAGAUGGGUCCUUUGGAGGAGCUGUGGCCCCUUUGAGCCCAGAUGUACCAUGUAGGACAGGGCAGGUGUUCUGGUGGUGAUACGCACCAGGUGGCGCUCUCCUUCCAGUGUUAGAGAGAUGUCACACCGCUUGGAUGCAGGAAAGGCCUCCAGGGCUCGGAUUGAAAAGUCAAGAUUGGUUUUCAGGUGCGAGUUCAGCAAUCCUUCCUGACGGAUUUUCCAUUUCACAGAGAGAAGGCAGUCCAGAUCAAGAGAGGGUAGAGUGAAAUAUCUCCUUUUGGGAAGAAAUAAACAAAUGAGCAUUGAUUGUAUGGAAAAUAUAUGGUAACCUUAGAAAGAAUAAAUAAGUUUGGACAAACUUUUUUUUGUCCUAAAUUUUAAUGAUUUUAAUAAUGAACUUUCUCAUAUCAAAUUAUUUUUCAUUUUGUAACAGUAAAUCUCAAAGAGAUAACAUACAUACAGGAUUCAGAGUUACUUCACAAGAAGCCUGUUUAGCGAAACAAAACAUAUUGGCCCAGUUAACAACCAGAAAUACAGGUGAUCUGGGUUAAAAUGCAAAACAUCAACAAAAACUCUACUGGAUCGCAUGAUAGACAU